GAUUCUUUCCCAGUUAAUUCCCUUGUCAGUCUAACUCCCACACAGUCAUUCUUCUGCGAAAGCGGCACAGACUGGGAGGGACCGCGUGCUGUCAAUCUCCAGACGCAGCCAAUGGAAGAAAGAAAUGUUUCGCUUAAGGAUGAUCAGCCGAGCCAAUAAUGUGCGGCGGUGUGUUCCACGUGACUACAUCUUCUUUCCCCCCCCCACUCCCCCGCCUGUCUUUCACAUGAGUAUUAUAUAGUUCAAUUCAGUGCAUCUGAUAGAAGAAAUAGAGUGCUGGGGUGUCUGACUAAAGUAGUUUUAAGCUGAAUUAUGUUUCUUUGUAUAAUUAAUGGAGCUUCCUGAUUCCAUCCCCUAUUCAGUUUGUACCCAAACCCAAAUGAGGCACUGUACAGCUUGAAGAAAAUUGAUAAGUCUAUUUUGGCAACUGAACUGCCACUCUCAUCUCUGAUUUUGGGUCAGCAGUUAAGUCAAGCAUAAGAGCAACGUGACUAGGACAUCAUUCUCCGUUCCACAUCCAGAAAGCAAAAGACAAAAAUAUCAUGAGACCAGACAGUGGAACAGACUGAAACAAGCAUAAAUUCAGCUGUGAAAAGAAUUCAAAAGGGUGUUUUUUAAAAAGAAAUAUUCCUACACAUCCGUUAAUCUCUACCACUUGGUACGGAAGACUGUUGAAAGUGGACCUUUCUGUGGCCAUGGUUCAUGUUGUCCGAUGACUGGCCAAGUGGAGAACUUGUUCUGUUGACUGGAGUUUGGAAACAUAUUCCCCAUUUGCAGAUUCCAGACUUGUCAACAGGCACUGCAGUGUGUUACUCAAAAUGCAUGCCGUUUGAAAAGGAAUUUCUUUAUUGUACCUGAUUAGACAUCCAUGCAUCUAAGGAGUUAGACUGACCUUACCCUUUUAGAUUCUAUUUUUAUCAAGUGGUGGCUUCAGGGAACAUUCAACGCUGUCGGUUGUUAGUACUAAUGUCCUUUGGGAUGCCCUAAAAUCAUGCCAGGAGCUCGAUAAAUUGAGGUCUGUCUGCUUUUCUUCUUUCGUAAAGUAUUGCCCCUGAGGUAGCUACACUCUUCUGAGAGCUGGAGCCUCAUGUAGAUAUGAAUCCAGUGAUCAUAAUUUCACAAUGCAGAAGAAAACUGAACGUAAUUCAUUGAAUAAAGUUAUGUGCCUUUUACAAAACUGUGGAGUAAAAAUUAUGUUGCGGAUAUUACCAGAAACAUUUAGAGCUAGAUGCAGUUAUGUUGAAAAUUGACAGAGACCGAGUAAGGAUAUAAUCUUUCCCUAUAUAAGCUUUUCCCAAGCUCAUUAAUAUUUCUACUCAUUCUCUGUGAGAACUACCCACAAAGCAUGGACUGAAAGAGAAUAAUAAAUUGUGUAUUGAUUGUCAAUCUUUUAUUAAUCUGUUAUUUUAUUUUUGAAACAGUUUCUUCUUCAAUCAGAACACCUACACAAUUAUAACAAUUAUUGAAUUCAUGUUAGUUUAGUAAAUUUUAAAGAGAUAAUUAGUUGUUUCACACUAGGAGUCACGCCUAACAACUCUGUGAAAUAUUAUUCUGAAUGUGAUGUUUAUUUUCUUCUUUCUCUUGCUUCUAUUUUCUAAGGUCUGGAGGUAUUGCUUCACUCAAUUGGGGUACAUUUUCACAGACAGUGCUCACUGUGUAUUGCCCCACAGAACUGACAAUUAAUAAUCUCUUCACUGCAAGAUCUAGAUCUCCCACUUUGUUCAGUAAGAAUAAUACAUUCAAAAUGACUGACUCACUGUCAGUGAUGCAACUGAAAAAACCUAGGCCUGAUUGGCAGCAAAUGUGGCGAGUUGCAAUACCCACCAUAAUGGACAACUUGUAACCAUUCUAAGGAGUGGUCAUUUUGAGUUUCCACAACCAGCAUAAAGCAGGUCUCCAAUCUAGAAAUGUUCUCAAUAGUGUGGGGAUUCUACACACAUUUUAACUAUUAAUUAACUUCAGAAUUUAUGAAGAAGCAGACUCUGUAACUUUAAGAGCCAAUCCAGCUUCAAAAAAGUCCACUUUAGUCACAGAGUAAUUUAUUACUGGUUACACGAUGUGACAGUCUUCAAUGAGCAAUGCUAUGAGAAGAUCUGUUUGAUUAGCAAGCUACCACGAAACACAUUUUUUAAAAAUAUACUGAUGAAUUGGAAAGGGUGUGAUGUGUAGUUUUUAACAACUGCAAGGCUGCUAGAAUUGUUAUUUCUUCACCAAAGGAUCACACAAUCCUAAUGUCGUCAGCAGCAACUGGUGGCUAAAAAAAAGCUAUUUCUUGGAAAUCAUUUUUUUCCACGUAAUGCACACACUUAUGGGAAAAAGAGAAGCAACUAGAUUCCACAAGCUUCAUAGUGAGAUUCUGAAUGUUUUGUUUCUGCUGGAUAAAUUCUGUUUGUAAGGGCCUGCUUAUAAAGAAAUAUUUCCCUCUGACCAAAAAAAUUUAUCAUGCUCUUACCCCACUGAUCACAAGCAGGUACAUUCUGCCUAUGUUACACUCCAGACCUUUGUAAGAAAAUGCAAUAAAUCAUACAAGGCAGCAAAACAGCUUAGUACAACAGUCACACAUCCAGAAAGUAGUCAUUCUUCAGAACAAAAUAAAUCCUUUUAGUUAUGAUGAUAUUUAAUUGAGCUGUUUAUUUCAUCUAUUGCUGAUCCUACAUGCAUUGUGUUAACAUAGUGGUGUAACACACAACUAUAUAAGAAUUUUGGCAUGAAGAGAUGAUUGUACACAUGUUCACACACACACACACACACAAGUUCUAUUUAAGUAACAUGUUAUUUUGAAAUUGGUCACAUAAAGCAAACACUUAAAUGAACCAGUGCAUAGCAAAUACAGAUUAUGCUAUUUACUGUAAUUUACAUGUACUGGAACCUUAUAGUGUGAAAAUAAAUUGUUAUGAGACUUGAAAGGGUUCAAAAAGAUUUACAAGUAUGUUGCCCGGGUUGGAGGU